AACUUAACCACUGUGUCACCAGGCCAGCCCCUCUGGUAGCUUUUGAUAUCUACUUUCUUUCUUCUCCUCCCUGCACUUUCUCUGCAGUGUGUUUCAGUGUGGAUUUAUGUUGUUUAUACUACUUGGAACUUGUGCUUCUUGAAGCUGAAGCUUUAUAUCUUUCAUCCAUUCUGGAAAACACUCAUCUUUCUCAUUUUCUCUCUUCUUUCUGGAAUUCCUUAAGAUUGCUCCUGGCAGGCCAUGAAGCACUGUGGCACAAACGUGGCUUUUUUCUCUCCAGAAGGGAAUUUCUGCCUCUUCCAUCUCAGUCAGUACUGUCCCUUGUCGUGGGGGCUUUUUUUAUCCAGUUUUCAGUUCUCUCUCAGGGGUAAUUGUUCCAAGAGUAGUUGUAAAUUUGUUGUGUCUGUGGGAGGGGAAGUUCAGAGCACCUACGCCGCCAUCUUGACACCAUCCUCUGGGCUGGCACUCCUGCUCUCUCUUCCUUAGACAACUCACCCUGGGGGAAGCCAGCUGCCACGUCAUGAGGACACUCAGGCAACUUAUGGAGACGCCCAUGUGGCAAAGAAUGGAAGUGUCCUGCAACAGCCAGUGAGGAACCAGGGCCUGCCAGUAAACAGCUCGAGAAGAACAGUGGUCACCCCUGUCCAAGACACAUCCUUCUCCCUCGUCCUCAUAUUAGGCAGGACUCUCAGUUUCAAGUGGCACAAAAAUUUAGCACGAACUGGCUGAGGACUGUGUUAGACGCGGGGACUCACACAAUGUCAUUGGGACUCAGUCCCUCUCCAUUUCUCGGCUCUGUUAUCGUCCGUGUUGACUUCAUUCCCAGGCAGGUCCUCCUUAUGUGGUAGCAAAGACAGCCCCCCUUAGCUCCAGGCUGCCAUUCUCAGCAGCGUGGCAAUCCCAGAAGACAGGAUUCCAGCGGAAGCCCCAGGGCCAGCGCUCAUUGGACAGAACCGUGUCACGUGUUCUUUCACGACCCCGCCGCUGUGGCCAGGCGUUAGAACAAGCUGAUUGGCCAGGCCUGAGUCACAUGACUACUUCCAAAGUUGGGGGAGGCUGCGGCCCAGGGAGUGGAGAAGGACAGUUGCCCAAAGGACAGUUGCACUUGGGGAAGGAGACGGUGAAAGCGACAGAUCUCUACCUGACUUUCAGCGUCUCUACUGCUCCCUCCUCUGCCACCCGUAUACAGUGACGAAUCCCCAGAGCUCUCCUGUUCUCAGCCCAGACUCACCUUUGUUUCCACCCAGACGUCCUGCAGAACCUCCAGACCCGUGUGUCCAGAAUCACAUCCGUUAGCUUCCCUCCUCCUGGCCACCAUCGUCCUCUGUUCGUUUCCUAUUCCUGCUGUGUAGAUCGCCACAGACGCGCUGGACUACAACGGCACGAAUGUAUCAUCGUACAGUCAUGGAGGGCGGAAGUCCAAAACGAGUCUUCUGGGGCUAAAUUCCAUGUGUUGGCCUGGCUGGUUCCUUCCAGAAGCUCUGGGGGAGAAUCUGCCCCUUGCCUUCUUCUUCUGGACGCUGUUUGCAUUCCUUGGCUUCUGGCCCCACAGCCUUUCCUCCCUGUGCUGUCACUGUCACGUCACCUUCUCCAGACUCCGCUCUCCUGCCUCCCUCUUAUAAGGCCCCUUGUGGUUGCAUUUAGGGCCCACCUCUCCAUCUUAAGGUCAUUAACUGGAUCACCUCUGCAGAAGGGAGUCCCUUUGCUGCGUAAGGUGAUCUGCACAGGGUCAGAGGAUUACGACGGGGACAUCUUUGAGGGCCCACCACCCCACCCAGACACGUGACGGCCCCACUCUAGCCACCUGGGAAUCCCCAGGCACUCUCGGGGUCCACCAGGCGCUUCCUCCUCCCUCUUCCUUUGCUCCUGCAGUUUCCUCGGCUGAAUGACCCCCAUCCCAGCCCUUCCCACCUGCCAGUCUCCGUACUUGAACUUCAAGGCUUAGCUCAAAUUGCACUUCUCUUUUGUAGCUUUCUUCCACUCCUACGACUGGUAUACUGAGGUACACACUUUCUCGUGUCCCAGAGCAUAGUGUUUUAUGACAGUGAACCACAGUAGCCAGUUCACCUUUCCAACCACUCGUUUGAUCGUGACAUCUUUAGGAGCAGAGACUUUUGCUUGAUCACCUCUAUUGCUCCAGCUCCUAACUCAUAGCUCAUGGCAUUUAAUAAGGUGCAAAAAAUAUUUACGGAAUCCCACAGCAGGUAAUGGAAUCCAUCACGAUUUUUUAAAGUCCCAGCUCAUGGUGGGCUGCUUUUAUGGUGGAUGUCAGCUGUUUCGCCUGCCUGCCCAGCAUUCCUGACCCCCCUGUUUGAUACCCACUCCCCGCCGUCCUCUGGGGACCCCCCACUCCCCCUUAUGAGGGUCGUGAUCAUAUGGCCGUAUUGGCCACAGCGCCACACGUGGGUCUGGUCAGUCAGAGCCAGAGUGACUGUCCCAGAUGGAGGCAUGUGGCCCAGUCUGGGCUAAAGAGAGUGAAGACCUGGGAUUUUACAUGGAGGUGGGAGAGAGAAGCGGCUGGUGAGCUGGUGUGAGGAGCGCCUGGAGCUGUGGGGGGCCCUGCCGCGCCCUGUCACCCUCCACCUGGAAGAAGCUUGCCUGCAGACAAGACAGUGAAGUCAACCAGAGGGAAAACCGAACUCGGGUGGUACGUGAGAUAGGCAGAUGUGGGACAGUGGUCCCCAGGCAGCCUCCGCGCCUGGACUUCCCUUGGCGACAGCUAAGCAGUUCCCUUUCUUCCUGAUAUCAGUUGGAGUUGGAUUCUGACACUCGUGCCUGAGCGGAUCGUGACCGAUACAGGUUUGAACUCUGGGGUAAAAUCAUCUCCAGAAUCCUCCAGCAGACUUCCCUCUUCUUCUCACUGGCCAAAAUCAAGUCACAUGACCAUCCCUGAUCCAUCUCUUGCACAGGGGAACAGGAUUGCUAUGAUUGGCUGUGACCAGUCAUGAGUCAUCUCUUUGCUCAGAGAGCAGCACAACUGACCGGAUACUCACCCUCUUUGAGUUUCUGGGGGUGGUGAGGCCCAUCUCCAGUCUUGGGAGCAGUCUGUGUGGAGGGCCUUCUCUGGGCCAGGCCUUGUGCAGAUGAAGGAAAACAGUCCCCACCUUCAAAUGCACGCAGGAGGCAGGAAGGAGCCACUACACGGUCUGCAGGGAAAAGUUGGACACAGACACCUGUGCACGGGGAGAACCGCCAUCUGCAGUUGAAGGUAGAGAUCCGGGAUGCCUUUAGAGCCCUGGAAUGCCCGAGACGGCCAGUGCUCACCAGAAGAGGAGAGGGGCCUGGAACAAUCCUUCUCCACAGCCCUCGGAAGGAGCCACCUGCAGACAUCUGAUCUCAGACUUGUGGCUUCCAGACCGUGAGACAAUAAAUCUCUGUUGUCUCCGCCAUUCAGUCUGUGGCACUUUGUUAGGGCGGCCCUAGGAACGUAACAUACCAUCUUCGUCUCAAGGUAGCUGGGAAGAAAUAGAGGAGAGGCAGGGCCAUAUGAGAUGAGCCUAGAAGGCAGGUCAGGGCCGGAUCAGACAGGGCCUCACAGGUUCCGAUAAGACUUUGGGUUUUACUCUAAGGUCCAGGAAACCGUUGAUGGGUUUAUAACUGCCAUAAGCAGAGAAGCGAUCCUGUGUGGAGAAUGAUUUGGAAGGGGGCGGAAGUAACAGCGGAAAGACCAGCAUGGAAGCCACUGCACCUGUCCAGGUGGGAGGAGAUCGUGGCUUGAUCAGGUGGCAGCCCCGAGGGUGGAGAACAUCGAGUGGCUUCCAUAGCCAUUUGAGGGACAGGGUACCUGGACCUGCUGGUGGAUGGAGACGGGGAGAGACGCAGAGGAAUGGAGGGGGAUGCCCAGUUCCAGGCCUGAGCAACGGGGUGGAUGAGGGUGCUUCUUAUUCUGAGACAAAAGACCAGCGCCGAGGACGGGGGUAGAUUUGUGGGGGAGAAGGAAAGAAUUCCUUUCAAACACUGAAGUUUGAGACGUGUGUGCAACAUCCCAACAGAGAGACCAAGCCAGCAGAUGGGCCAGGGAGUCUGGAGCUCAGAGCGGGGUCCAGGCAGAUGGGUCAGUGAGUCUGGAGCUCAGACCGGGGUCCAGGCAGAUGGGUCAGUGAGUCUGGAGCUCACAGCGGGGUCCAGGCAGAUGGGCCAGUGAGUCUGGAGCUCAGAGCAGGGUCCAGGCAGAUGGGCCAGGGAGUCUGGAGCUCAGAGCGGGGUCCAGGCAGAUGGGUCAGUGAGUCUGGAGCUCAGACCGGGGUCCAGGCGGAGGUGGGACUUGGGGAUUUGACUGCAUAGAGGUGGUCUUUAAACCACAGGAAUUGGUGAGCUGGCCUAGAGAGGGCAGAGAAAGAAGAGGAAGCCGGGGUUGAGCCCGAGAAUCCCCAACCUUCAUGGGGCUGGUGUGACUGAGAACGUGGCACGAUUGCUGACGUGAGGAAGAAACAGGGCCUGGGAAGGCAGGCCAGACCAGGGGUGGGCGGGCCCUCCUGAGGAGAACCCUAACAGGAAGCUUGGCUGCACGAAUAGGAGUUGGCCAGGGGGAAAAGAGUAGCUGUCAGAGGGAACAGAGGCAAACACCAGUGUGUUAGUUUCCCAGGUAACAAAGUACCUCCGAGCAGGGGCUAGGACAACAGAAGCUGCUUCUCUCACAGUGCUGGAGGCCAGAAGUCCGAAUGGAGCUUUUUGUGCACACUCUCGAUCAUGGAGGCAUUCCCUGACCUCCCUUUCCCCACCCCCUUGCACUAUUUCAUUUUUCUUCCCGGCACUUACCAGUAUCU
ensembl:lncRNA